rnacentral:rRNA from 1 species
UACGGAGGGUGCGAGCGUUAAUCGGAAUCACUGGGCGUAAAGAGCGUGUAGGCGGUUCGGUAAGUCCGCCGUGAAAUCCGAGGCUCAACCUCGGGCUUGCGGUGGAUACUGUCGGGCUAGAGGAUGGUAGAGGGGAGUGGAAUUCCCGGUGUAGCGGUGAAAUGCGCAGAUAUCGGGAGGAACACCAGUAGCGAAGGCGGCUCCCUGGGCCAUUCCUGACGCUGAGAUGCGAAAGCUAGGGGAGCGAACAGGAUUAGAAACCCCGGUAGU